rnacentral:rRNA from 1 species
GGAUCAAGGGAUCGGUCAUGCCUUGGUAUGUACUGGUUUUAUUGGUUCUCACCUUCUAAAGAACCAUAAUGUCAUUUAUUUGAUGUUAUGGGGAGUUAGGACUGUUACCUUGAAAAAAUUAGAGUGUUUAAAGCAGGCAUAUGCCCGAAUACAUUAGCAUGGAAUAAUGAAAUAGGACAUCAGAUUCUAUUUUGUUGGUUUCUAGGAUCGAUGUA